rnacentral:tRNA from 1 species
GUCUGUAUAGAUUAUGUUAAAUUGUGAUGCUGUUAACUUCAAGAAGGGUUGGAUGUUUAUUCCCUACAGUCG